rnacentral:lncRNA from 1 species
UAUGGUACAAAAUAUUAUCCUUUUGAUUUUUUUCAACUAUUACAUGAAAACUGUAAAAACUGUUCUUAGCUCACAGAAUGUGGGAGGGUUAGAUCUGGUCCAUAGGCUACUGUGUGCAAACCAUCCACAAACCUGGCUUCUCUGCUGCUUCUGUAGGCCCUCCCCUGGUUUUAGAUCUUGGGCUUCACUCAGACUUGGGUUCCAGCCUCCCACAGGCUCACAGUUUAUGUGAGUUAAAUUGAUCUGACACCUAGAGCUUGUGAUUUCUUGGUCUGCCAGUCUAUUCAUUGAUCCACGCAGAGUGCAAUGCCAUGUCCCCCAGCCAAGGGCAUUCUAAGGAACUCCAAAGCCCACACACAAAAAGCGUCUAGUGUGUUCAGAACUAAACUGCCUGCCCAAUUGACUUUCUACACUGUUUUCUGGUUUGGGUUUUUUUUCCCACCCGUACUGGGGGUUUAACCUAGGGGUGCUCUAUCGCUCACUAAACUAUAUCCUUGGCCUUAUUUGUUUGUUUUGCAUGUUUAUUUAUUUAUUUUUGAAACUGAGGAUUGAAUCCAGAGGUGCUUUACCACUGAGCCACAUCCCCAGCCACUUUUUUAAAAAAAUAUUUUGUAGUUAUAGUUGACACAUGCCUUUAUUUAAUUUAUUUAUUUAUAUGUGGUGCUGAGGAUCAAACCCAGGGCCUUGAACAUGCUAAUCGUGCGCUCUACCACUGAGCCAAAACCCCAGUCCCUCAGCCACUUUUAUUUUUUAUUUUGACUUUUUUUUUUUUAAUAUUUAUUUUUUAGUUUUCGGC